rnacentral:misc_RNA from 1 species
CAACCCUCAAGCGCGGCUUGGUGUUGGGCGCGGCCUGCCCGGCCGGCCCCAAAGGCAGUGGCGGCGCCGUCGGGCCCGAAGCGCAGUACGACUCUCGCUCUCGGGUCCCGCGGUGGCCUGCCAGAACCCCGACUCUGC